CAACAAUGAAUUUAAAUUAGUGUUAAUAUAAUAUCACCAUUUAAGAUGACACAAUUACCAGAUUUAAGGAGAGACCCAAAAGAAACAGCAGAUCUAUGCAAAUGUCGUCCAAUAUGCAAGAGUCGUCGUCGCGAAUGGCGAGGCAAGGUCCAGAACACGUCUGCAGAGCUGCUGCUUGAGCGGAAACCUUUGCCAGAGUGCUUCAGGCGAUGCCCCACGAAAGUGUUCCCGAACAGCCCGUGCCCGCU